GUUUACGUUUACUUUGGCUUAUGCAUGAGUAUAGAUUGUUUGUAUCAUGUUUGAUAAUGUUAGGUAUUUUCUACUUUUUGCAAUCAGAAAAUCCCAACAAGAGCUACAAAACAGGGGAAUAGUAUCCCUGAUCGAUAUGUAUAUUCAACUAGGAACAAAAUACACUAAAUCACAAUGUCUCAGGAUCAACUUUAACAAGAUGAAAGAUAAAGAGCAAAAGAAAGAAGAUAACUCCCCGGCACAUUCGAGAGUGCCGGAAUACUCUCCUAAACCACAGCCUUCAGCCAAAAUUUCCGCCCCCACAAUAGAGCCUUCAAACCCUACAAAAACCCUUGCACGGGUCCCCACUCGCCAUGUAACAACUGUACAACUCCUGAGCUGAUUAUCAAGCACUAAUUCUCCUUCCUAUCUCUUCUCUCGGAUGUAUGGAUGAUAGGGGACCUCACAGAUAAGUGCUUCUAGUUGGAAAGUGGACAAGAACUAUGUAAGACCCCUAGUUAUUGGAAAUAGUAGGAUUAUUAGUAAAUAUUAGGAUAGUUAUUAGAAGGGGCAUUUUGGUAAUUAGAUAGUGAACUUGUUAAGGCUUUUAGGUAUAAAUAGAGGGAGUGAGUUGAGAGAAAGGGCAAGAAGUAUUUUGUAAGGAAUUUUCUAUGGGGAAUUUAAGGAGAGAUUAGCCCUCUCGAAAGACUAGAGGUUAUCUUGUUACUUUGCUUAUAAGUUGAUAGUAUACUUCAAUACAUUUUCCUAUAUUUCUAUAAUUGAACUGUUCUUGAGUUUAUUCUGUAUUCUUGAGUAUUGUUCUUGUUAGGAGAGAUCCUAACAAACUACUUGAACUUAGAAACGUUUAUAUCAUUUAUAAUUGUGUUACAAGUAGAGCCUAUAUAAUGGUUUUCAUUACUUUGAAGAGGUUGCAUAUCCUAAACCACUCGCCUGAACAGAAAAAAAAGUAUGUCAAUGGCAAGGCUUCAUUUGUUCCCAACACUUUCAAGCAUUGUCUAGCAUGUGUCAGCUAACUACCAGUUGUUGGCUCAAAUAAUAAUCUGAUUAUGGAGUGCUGUGUGCAUAGGGUGGGAGGUCACUCAGUGGGACUUUUGGAUACUAGAAAAGCAAAAGAGAAGGACUCACUAGUUGUCUAAGUUUAAUAGGAAGCAGUUAUUUUGUCAACCUUGAACGAAUGUAAUACCAAGGGUGAAGAAAUUAAGCAUGAGACUCCGGCUUUUACUGUGUUUCAACCUGAUGAAGCCAUGCAUAUGCUUAGAGAUAAAGCUUCCCAGUUGGAUGUAUGUGCAGAGAUCUUCUUCAUUCGUAUAAUCACCAUAAGACCUGACCCUUCCCAUAAUGUUUGAAUUUUAUUUUAUUACACUAUGACAUGCAUUGUUCAUUACUACCUUAUAUUUGAAACAAUGUCAUGUUAACUUCGUACAAUCUGAAUUUUCUAUUACUUGCUAUUAUAGAUGUGAGCUUAAAUUAUUUCUCGUAGUGAUCUAUGCUUUUUUGCGUCUACAUGACUACAUGGUUGAACCUGAAACUAGAUAAUGAACUGCAACAAUUUUGCACAUCACACAUACAACUUAACUUACCGUAGUGCUGCCAUUGGACCCUGAGCUACUACAUGGUCGUAAACUUGGGCUUGAAGGCGAGCACCAGUAUCAAAAUGCUGGUCUUGCUGUUGCCCUAUCCUCCACAUGGCUUCACAGGGCUAGCCAUUCCAAACUGCCAUACGUAGAACAAAGUAGGUCUUUGCCUGAGCAGUUCAUAGAAGGGCUUACCACUGCCAACUUUGAAGGACGAGCACAGAUUGUUCCUGACAGAUCUGUUGAUAUCGAAUCCCGAACAUCUUGUAUUUUAUUUGGAUGGAGCCCAUAGUCCUUAGAGGAUGGAGGUUUGAGGUUGAUGGUUUUCUGCUGCAAUAAGUCAUAACCAGCCAGGGAUUUUAAAUCAUCAGUCGGCAGGAUAAUGGUAUAUCUUCAAAUAAGCUUCGAGAUAACGAUGAAGCAAGGAAGAAAUCUCUGCAGGUGGAUUUCAACUUUAGUUCAACUUUUCCUAGUUCAUUUAUUGCUUGUCAAGGAAAGAUGGAUUACACAUAACUAAAUUAGAUAAUUUCAUUGUGAGAACUUGUAGAAAUGGCAUUGUUGGCCUGCAAUCAAUGUAUCAAAGAUGAGGAACAAUGAAAGUUUCCUUUGAUGACAUUAACAAAGCAUAACUCCCCCGGCAUGGUCUCCCUCGCC